GAACGCUGGCGGCGUGCCUAAUACAUGCAAGUAGAACGCUGAGGUUUGGUGUUUACACUAGACUGAUGAGUUGCGACGGGGUGAGUAACGCGUAGGUACCCUGCCUCAUAGCGGGGGAUAACUAUUGGAAACGAUAGCUAAUACCGCAUAAGAGUAAUUAACACAUGUUAGUUAUUUAAAAGGAGCAAUUGCUUCACUGUGAGAUGGACCUGCGUUGUAUUAGCUAGUUGGUGAGGUAAAGGCUCACCAAGGCGACGAUACAAAGCCGACCUGAGAGGGUGAUCGGCCACACUGGGACUGAGACACGGCCCAGACUCCUACGGGAGGCAGCAGUAGGGAAUCUUCGGCAAUGGACGGAAGUCUGACCGAGCAACGCCGCGUGAGUGAAGAAGGUUUUCGGAUCGUAAAGCUCUGUUGUUAGAGAAGAACGUUGGUAGGAGUGGAAAAUCUACCAAGUGACGGUAACUAACCAGAAAGGGACGGCUAACUACGUGCCAGCAGCCGCGGUAAUACGUAGGUCCCGAGCGUUGUCCGGAUUUAUUGGGCGUAAAGCGAGCGCAGGCGGUUCUUUAAGUCUGAAGUUAAAGGCAGUGGCUUAACCAUUGUACGCUUUGGAAACUGGAGGACUUGAGUGCAGAAGGGGAGAGUGGAAUUCCAUGUGUAGCGGUGAAAUGCGUAGAUAUAUGGAGGAACACCGGUGGCGAAAGCGGCUCUCUGGUCUGUAACUGACGCUGAGGCUCGAAAGCGUGGGGAGCAAACAUGAUUGGAUACCCUGGUAGUUCACGCCGUAAACGAUGAGAGUUAGG
rnacentral:rRNA from 1 species